rnacentral:rRNA from 1 species
UGAGGAAUAUUGGUCAAUGGGCGAGAGCCUGAACCAGCCAAGUCGCGUGAAGGAAGACUGCCUUAUGGGUUGUAAACUUCUUUUAUACAGGAAUAAAAAGGCUUACGUGUAGGCCAUUGCAAGUACUGUAUGAAUAAGCAUCGGCUAACUCCGUGCCAGCAGCCGCGGUAAUGCGGAGGAUGCGAGCGUUAUCCGGAUUUAUUGGGUUUAAAGGGUGCGCAGGCGGGCUUUUAAGUCAGCGGUGAAAUCUGGACGCUUAACGUCCAAACUGCCGUUGAAACUGGGAGUCUUGAGUAUGGAUGAAGUAGGCGGAAUUCGUUGUGUAGCGGUGACAUGCAUAGAUAUAACGAGGAACUCCGAUUGCGUAGGCAGCUUACUAAGCCAUAACUGACGCUCAUGCACGAAAGCGUGGGGAUCAAAACAGGAUUAGAUACCCUGGUAGUCCACGCCGUAAAACGAUGAUUACUAGUUGUAUGCGAUAUGAUAGUAUGUGACUAAGCGAAAAGCGAUAAGUAAUCCACCUGGGGAGUACGCCGGCAACGGUGAAACUCAAAUGAAUUGACGGGGUCAUAGCUGUUUCCUG